rnacentral:misc_RNA from 1 species
CUCCCUCCAGUCCUUUCGCUUGUUCGCGCCUUUGGGCCUUCGAGCGGCGUGUGUUGCCUGUGCCCCCUACCCGGUCCUGCGGGAAGCCGACUCGACCGACACGACAGUCCGCCCCAACCCCCCCGCCUCGGGCGGGCGAGGGGCGGCCGCAGCGCGGGCGUCGCGCGCCCCCGGACGGCGCGGCCCUCGGGCCCCCGUGCCGGCCGGGCUCCCGACGUCCCGCGAGCGCUCUCGGAUGCGGCGGAUGCCUCGGGCUCCGGGGACUUCGGCCCCGGGCCCGGACCUCGGACGGUCGUCGAGACGACGGUCGGCCCGCCGUCGGGCCCCGUUCGCCCCCCGCGGGCGGGCGGGCGCCCCGCCGGCGGCGCCGAC